rnacentral:pre_miRNA from 1 species
AUUCGCUGGAUGAGUUUGAGGCAUUGGAUUGAGUUCAUUCAAUCUGAGCCCUACAUUCAUCAGGGGUAUUC